rnacentral:rRNA from 1 species
GCCUAAUUGAAAAGAGAUGCUUGCAUCGAUUUGAUUUUAGAUCCGACUGAGUGGCGAACUGGUGAGUAACACGUGGGUAACCUGCCCAGAAGAAGGGGAUAACACCUGGAAACAGAUGCUAAUACCGUAUAACAACAAGAACCACAUGGUUCUUGUUUGAAAGCUGGCCUUUGUGCUAGUGCUUCUGGAUGGACCCGCGGCGUAUUAGCUAGUUGGUGAGAUAAUAGCUCACCAAGGCGAUGAUACGUAGCAGACCUGAGAGGGUAAUCUGCCACAAUGGGACUGAGACACGGCCCAUACUCCUACGGGAGGCAGCAGUAGGGAAUCUUCCACAAUGGACGAAAGUCUGAUGGAGCAACGCCGCGUGAGUGAAGAAGGGUUUCGGCUCGUAAAACUC